rnacentral:rRNA from 1 species
CCCCUAGAUGUUCUGGGCCGCACGCGCGCUACACUGAACAGUUCAACAAGUCUUAACCUUGGCCGAUAGGUCUGGGUAAUCUUUGAACGCUGUUCGUGAUUGGGAUAGACCUUUGCAAUUAUGGGUCUUCAACGAGGAAUUCCUAGUAAACGCAAGUCAUCAACUUGCAUUGAUUACGUCCCUGCCCUUUGUACACACCGCCCGUCGCACCUACCGAUUGAAUGGUCCGGUGAAGCCUCCGGAUUGGCGCGCACCUCGGUGCCGCCGAGAAGUUGGCUAAACCUUNCNAUUUAGNGGAAGGUGAANUCGUANCA